rnacentral:lncRNA from 1 species
CUGAAUCUCUUCACACAAAGAGUGGAUUUACUUGAGCAGCUCUCAGGCUUAGUACCAACCAGCAGGAACGUGACCCUUUAUGAGGAGGACAAGGGAUGUCCAGUGCUGGACAUUGGCCUGUAUUCCACACUCACUAUGCCCUCCCAGGAAGCAUUUGGUUCAAGGUUUGACAUUUAUCUUUGCAGAUGAAUUUAGUCUUCUGAUUCAACUGCGGAGCUCACAAGAAGAGGAGCGGAGUGUGUUGACUUUGCUGAACUUCUAUAAUCACAUUUUACUCCAGAUCCGUAUAGGCCCACACAGCAUCACCUUCAUCACCACACAGCAGCGUGACUAUGAGUUUUCAGUGUCGGGGCUGUCUGACUCGCAGUGGCACUGGAUCUCAGUUGGGGUUGCAUUUGAAUGGCUGGCUGUGUAUGUGGACUGUGUGCUGGUGGAGAAAGUGAGCUGGAUGUACCCGUACAUGGGCAUCACUACAGAUGGCCUGCUGAUGGUGGGGGGAAUCUUGGAGGGCUUUGAGACACCCUUUGAGGGAGAGCUAAGACAGAUGACCUUCAUAAUGGGAGAUGCAAAUGCUGCCAAGGAUCACUGUGCUCUUCAUCAGCAUAUGUGUGAACCUGUGAAAGAACGUGGCUUUCUUAAGACAGAAAGUAGCACUGAGAGCCCUUUGUCAUCCUCAGCUGGCUCAACAGCAGACAGACCUUUCACAUCAAAUCCCUCUACUGGCAGAGAUGAGACUGCCAAUAUACAUUCAGUUCCAGGGCUCCGGCCUGAACCCAGAAAAUCACAUGGUUCGGUAAGAGACAACAAGAAACAUCCCAGUGUUAAUUACAGACCCAAAAAGAUAA